GAACGCCUGCGCCAGAAAGGUUAACAUUCUGAUACUGCUACCAUCUUGGAUAUUGUCACUCUUAACUCUCCCUCUUCUUCUUCUUCCAUGCAGGUGUAGGAGAAACUGAAGAGCGGUUCAAGCAACCUCAAGCAACUUCAAAUGGCAUAACCAAGGUUAUGAAGUUCAUGCAACCUCAGAGAGAAAUGGCAGUUGACAAACCAGUCACUUCAUACGUACUUCAUAGCACCUUUAUAGGCAGGAGAGGACUAGCUGAGCUGCUGGCUUGCCCUCCCAACACAGACACCACCAUUUAUAGUCCCCCCAUGAAACCCUACAGAGGCCUCCAAAACACCCUGAUGGGUCGAGCUCAAUUACUGAAUCUACCCAGAAACUUUCAGAGUACCGCAUACUUCUAUACUGGAUUCUUGACAUGCGUCACUGUAAUAUAUCUACUGCUGUACAUACAGUAUCAUUCUUCGUAUAUAUUUUUGGUGUAUAUACGCAUAGAUGGCAUUUAGAUUACUGAUUGAGUUAUUUGGGUUGUUAAUUGGAUUCAUUCUUGAUUUCUUGUUUUUGAUAAUUUGUGUUCUUGUUUUGACAUUUUACCUCCUAUAACAUCUGCUGAACUGUGUAUGAGACCAAUAAACUUUGAUUUGAUUUGA